GAUGAACGCUGGCGGCGUGCUUAACACAUGCAAGUCGAACGAAACACCUUAUUUGAUUUUCUUCGGAACUGAAGAUUUGGUGAUUGAGUGGCGGACGGGUGAGUAACGCGUGGGUAACCUGCCCUGUACAGGGGGAUAACAGUCAGAAAUGACUGCUAAUACCGCAUAAGACCACAGCACCGCAUGGUGCAGGGGUAAAAACUCCGGUGGUACAGGAUGGACCCGCGUCUGAUUAGCUGGUUGGUGAGGUAACGGCUCACCAAGGCGACGAUCAGUAGCCGGCUUGAGAGAGUGAACGGCCACAUUGGGACUGAGACACGGCCCAAACUCCUACGGGAGGCAGCAGUGGGGAAUAUUGCACAAUGGGGGAAACCCUGAUGCAGCGACGCCGCGUGAGUGAAGAAGUAUCUCGGUAUGUAAAGCUCUAUCAGCAGGGAAGAAAAUGACGGUACCUGACUA
rnacentral:rRNA from 1 species